rnacentral:lncRNA from 1 species
CUGUGAUGGGGGUGUUAAUCUUAUGUUUAUUUUAUCCACAGGAAACAAAGCUCAAGAAGGUGAAAUGAUGUUCCAAGAUUACUUCAUAUACCUGAGUGGCAAAAGCUGACUCAUUUCCAGGCCUUCUAACCCUAAGUCGCAUAUCCUUUUAGGUCUGCAAACACGCCAGUAUCUACAAUAGCAGAGUCUUUGUCAGUUUGCUGUUUUCAUGCUGGUGAUGAAUCUGCAGACAGGUGCAUACUAUGUUAUUCAGCCUCCGUGGCACAUCUCUGAGAGGUCUUUGGCCAGGGCAGGAAAAUCCGUCGGUGGUCAUGGAAAAUGGGAGUACUGCAUCUGCUCAUUCCAUAUUUUAACCAAUUACGCUAACUGCCCAGAGUGAUAAACACAUUUUAAUGUCUCACUCAAUGGCAUAUUUCACAUAAGACAGUUUUAGUAUUUAUGACUACGUUCUUAGAACCUCUUCCAAGACAAGCCUUUCUGAGAGUCUGUAUUAGCUUAUUUUAUUUUAUUUUUACCUAUUUUUUACUUAGGUAUAAUUGACACAUGACACUGUAUUUGUUUAGGUGUACAGAAUAAUGAUUUGACGUAUGUAUAUAUUGCUAAAGGAAUAAAUUUAGUUAAAACCCAUCCCCACACAUAAUUACACAUUUUUUCUUGUGAUGAGAAUUUUGAGAUCUACUUUCUUAAUAGCACUGUAUUAUAUAUUUGGAAGUUGCUGACUGUAGACAGCAUACUUUGUAUUCCAUCCCCAUAAUUUGUAUACCUCAUAACUGGAAGUUUGUAUCUUUUGAACAUUUUCAUCUAUUUCCUAAUAACCCUGUAUGAGGUUUCUUAAAAUACAGUAUCAUCUUUAUUAAAGAAACAAAAUCCUACAUUAAGAAAGAAUUCAAUCAACUUGUAAAAUGAACAAAAUUUUUGGCCAGAAACUAAAAUCUUAUGCAUUAAAUCUUGAUUAAGUUCUAGCAAUUAAAAAGAAAUUUGUUUUGUUAAAUAUCAGGAAAGAAAAUAAACAUCUUUACCCUAAAAUAUCUGAUCACAAAUUGUAAACAGAGAAAC